GUUCAGAACCGGGUGACCUCCAACGGACUCAAAUGGCACAGGAAUGUGCAACCUGGGAAAUGUUAUUGCGAUCUAAUUAACUUCAGCAAGUGCAUUCUGGACUGAACUUGCCAGGCCUCCUAUUCUGUGCGAGCAUCUCUCCUGCUGGUGAGGAGGUUUCUUAGCAAGACCAGACGGAGCUCAGCCUUCCACCAUGCCUGUGCCUCCCCCCCCAGCUCCCCCUCCGCCCCCAACACUGGCCUUGGCAAAUACUGAAAAGCCAUCCCUAAGCAGGUCAGAACAAGCAGGGCGAAAUGCUCUAUUAUCUGAUAUUACCAAAGGAAAAAAGCUAAAGAAGACUGUUACUAAUGACAGAAGUGCUCCGAUUCUUGACAAACCCAAAGGACCCAGUGGAGGUGGCGGCAGUGGCUUUGGAGGAGGUGGCGGUGGCAGCGGCGGGGGUUUCGGUGGUGGCAGCGGUGGUGGUGG